GACUUUGAUCCUGGCUCAGGACGAACGCUGGCGGCGCGCCUAACACAUGCAAGUCGAACGAGAGAGGAAGAGCUUGCUUUUCCGAUCGAGUGGCGAACGGGUGAGUAACGCGUGAGGAACCUGCCUCAAAGAGGGGGACAACAGUUGGAAACGACUGCUAAUACCGCAUAAGCCCACGGCUCGGCAUCGAGCAGAGGGAAAAGGAGCAAUCCGCUUUGAGAUGGCCUCGCGUCCGAUUAGCUAGUUGGUGAGGUAAUGGCCCACCAAGGCAACGAUCGGUAGCCGGACUGAGAGGUUGAACGGCCACAUUGGGACUGAGACACGGCCCAGACUCCUACGGCAGGCAGCAGUGGGGAAUAUUGCACAAUGGGGGAAACCCUGAUGCAGCGACGCCGCGUGGAGGAAGAAGGUCUUCGGAUUGUAAACUCCUGUUGUUGAGGAAGAUAAUGACGGUACUCAACAAGGAAGUGACGGCUAACUACGUGCCAGCAGCCGCGGUAAAACGUAGGUCACAAGCGUUGUCCGGAAUUACUGGGUGUAAAGGGAGCGCAGGCGGGCGAUCAAGCUGGAAGUGAAAUCCAUGGGCUCAACCCAUGAACUGCUUUCAAAACUGAUUGUCUUGAGUAGUGCAGAGGUAGGCGGAAUUCCCGGUGUAGCGGUGGAAUGCGUAGAUAUCGGGAGGAACACCAGUGGCGAAGGCGGCCUACUGGGCACCAACUGACGCUGAGGCUCGAAAGUGUGGGUAGCAAACAGGAUUAGAUACCCUGGUAGUCCACACCGUAAGCGAUGAUUACUAGGUGUUGGAGGAUUGACCCCUUCAGUGCCGCAGUUAACACAAUAAGUAAUCCACCUGGGGAGUACGACCGCAAGGUUGCAACUCAAAGGAAUUGACGGA
rnacentral:rRNA from 1 species